UAGUGGCGGACGGGUGAGUAACGCGUGGGAAUCUGCCCUCAGGAGGGGGAUAACGGUUGGAAACGACCGCUAAUACCCCAUAUGCCGAGAGGUGAAACGAAAUUCGCCUGAGGAUGAGCCCGCGUCUGAUUAGCCAGUUGGUGGGGUAAGGGCCUACCAAGGCAUCGAUCAGUAGCUGGUCUGAGAGGAUGAUCAGCCACACUGGGACUGAGACACGGCCCAGACUCCUACGGGAGGCAGCAGUGGGGAAUUUUCCGCAAUGGGCGCAAGCCUGACGGAGCAACGCCGCGUGAGGGAUGAAGGCCUCUGGGCUGUAAACCUCUUUUCUCAAGGAAGAAGAACUGACGGUACUUGAGGAAUAAGCCACGGCUAA
rnacentral:rRNA from 1 species